UCUCCUGGAAACGGGUGGUAAUGCCGGAUGUUCCACAUGAGCGCAUGCGAGUGUGGGAAAGGCUUUUUGCGGCAUGGGAUGGGGUCGCGUCCUAUCAGCUUGUUGGUGGGGUAACGGCCUACCAAGGCGUUGACGGGUAGCCGGCCUGAGAGGGCGACCGGCCACAUUGGGACUGAGAUACGGCCCAGACUCCUACGGGAGGCAGCAGUGGGGAAUAUUGCACAAUGGGCGCAAGCCUGAUGCAGCGACGCCGCGUGCGGGAUGGAGGCCUUCGGGUUGUAAACCGCUUUUGUUCAAGGGCAAGGCACGGUUUCGGCCGUGUUGAGUGGAUUGUUCGAAUAAGCACCGGCUAACUACGUGCCAGCAGCCGCGGUAAUACGUAGGGUGCAAGCGUUAUCCGGAUUUAUUGGGCGUAAAGGGCUCGUAGGCGGUUCGUCGCGUCCGGUGUGAAAGUCCAUCGCUUAACGGUGGAUCCGCGCCGGGUACGGGCGGGCUUGAGUACGGUAGGGGAGACUGGAAUUCCCGGUGUAACGGUGGAAUGUGUAGAUAUCGGGAAGAACACCA
rnacentral:rRNA from 1 species